GACGAACGCUGGCGGCGUGCUUAACACAUGCAAGUCGAACGGUGAAGCGCCUUCCUUUUUGGUGGGUGUGGAUGAGUGGCGAACGGGUGAGUAACACGUGAGUAACCUGCCCCCUUCUUCUGGAUAACCGCAUGAAAGUGUGGCUAAUACGGGAUAUUCUGUGUCUGUCGCAUGAUGGGUCUGGGAAAGAUAUUGUUUCGGUGGGGGAUGGGCUCGCGGCCUAUCAGCUUGUUGGUGGGGUGAUGGCCUACCAAGGCGGUGACGGGUAGCCGGCCUGAGGGGGUGGACGGGCACAGAGGGACUGAGACAUGGCCCGGACUCCGACGGGAGGCAGCAGGGGGGAAUAGUGCACAAUGGGCGCAAGCCUGAUGCAGCGACGCCGCGUGAGGGAUGGAGGCCUUCGGGUUGUGAACCUCCUUCGACAGUGAAGCAGGCCUGCCUAGUAUGUGGGUGGGUUGACGGUAGCUGGAGAAGAAGCGCCGGCUAACUACGUG
rnacentral:rRNA from 1 species